UGAACGCGGAAAGACCUUACCAAGGCUUGACAUGGGCCGGGCCGCUCCAGAGAUGGGUGCUUCCCUUCGGGGCCGGUUCACAGGUGGUGCAUGGUUGUCGUCAGCUCGUGUCGUGAGAUGUUGGGUUAAGUCCCGCAACGAGCGCAACCCUCGUUCCAUGUUGCCAGCACUUCGGGUGGGGACUCAUGGGAGACUGCCGGGGUCAACUCGGAGGAAGGUGGGGACGACGUCAAAUCAUCAUGCCCCUUAUGCCUUGGGCUUCACGCAUGCUACAAUGGCCGGUACAAAGGGUUGCGAUGCUGUGAGGUUGAGCCAAUCCCAGAAAGCCGGUCUCAGUUCGGAUUGGGGUCUGCAACUCGACCCCAUGAAGUCGGAGUCGCUAGUAAUCGCAGAUCAGCAACGCUGCGGUGAAUACGUUCCCGGGUCUUGUACACACGCACA
rnacentral:rRNA from 1 species